GUCAAGGACCCCCGCCUAAAAGGCAGGGGCUUGUGAAUGGGUUGAUUUCUGACCGUCUUUCACACGCUCGACUUGACUAGACUCAGCACGCAAGUGCUACGUUCGGAAGGUCAUGCUACCUACGGAUACUCGUCCUAGUCCGUAGCUCUAGC
rnacentral:sRNA from 24 species